rnacentral:rRNA from 1 species
CUUAGAGUUUGAUCCUGGCUCAGGAUGAACGCUGGCGGUAUGCUUAACACAUGCAAGUCGAACGGUGUCUUCGGACAUAGUGGCGGACGGGUGAGCAACGCGUGAGAAUCUAGCUUCAGGUCUGGGACAACCACUGGAAACGGUGGCUAAUACCGGAUGUGCCGGAAGGUGAAAGGCUUGCUGCCUGAAGAUGAGCUCGCGUCCGAUUAGCUAGUAGGUGGGGUAAGAGCCUACCUAGGCGACGAUCGGUAGCUGGUCUGAGAGGAUGACCAGCCACACUGGGACUGAGACACGGCCCAGACUCCUACGGGAGGCAGCAGUGGGGAAUUUUCCGCAAUGGACGAAAGCCUGACGGAGCAAUACCGCGUGAGGGAGGAAGGCUCUUGGGUUGUAAACCUCUUUUCUCAGGGAAGAACACAAUGACGGUACCUGAGGAAUCAGCAUCGGCUAACUCCGUGCCAGCAGCCGCGGUAAUACGGAGGAUGCAAGCGUUAUCCGGAAUGAUUGGGCGUAAAGCGUCCGCAGGUGGCUGUGUAAGUCUGCUGUCAAAGAGCAAAGCUCAACUUUGUAAAGGCAGUGGAAACUACACGGCUAGAGUGCGUUCGGGGCAGAGGGAAUUCCUGGUGUAGCGGUGAAAUGCGUAGAGAUCAGGAAGAACACCGGUGGCGAAGGCGCUCUGCUAGGCCGCAACUGACACUGAGGGACGAAAGCUAGGGGAGCGAAUGGGAUUAGAUACCCCAGUAGUCCUAGCUGUAAACG